GACGUCAAAUCAUCAUGCCCCUUAUGUCUAGGGCUACACACGUGCUACAAUGGCUGGUACAGAGAGAUGCUAAACCGUGAGGUGGAGCCAAACUUUAAAACCAGUCUCAGUUCGGAUUGUAGGCUGAAACUCGCCUACAUGAAGCUGGAGUUGCUAGUAAUCGCGAAUCAGAAUGUCGCGGUGAAUACGUUCCCGGGCCUUGUACACACCGCCCGUCACACCAUGAGAGUUGGCAAUACCCAAAGUUCGUGAGCUAACGCGUAAGCGAGGCAGCGACCUAAGGUAGGGUCAGCGAUUGGGGUGAAGUCGUAACAAGGUAGCCGUAGGAGAACCUGCGGCUGGAUCACCUCCUUUCUAUGGAGA
rnacentral:rRNA from 1 species